AUUGAACGCUGGCGGCAUGCCUUACACAUGCAAGUCGAGCGCGAAAGGGGGCAACCCCGAGUAGAGCGGCGAACGGGUGAGUAAUACAUCGGAACGUGCCCAGUAGUGGGGGACAACCUCGAGAAAUCGAGGCUAAUACCGCAUACGACCUACGGGUGAAAGCGGGGGACCGCAAGGCCUCGCGCUAUUGGAGCGGCCGAUGUCCGAUUAGCUAGUUGGCGGGGUAAGAGCCCACCAAGGCGACGAUCGGUAGCUGGUCUGAGAGGACGACCAGCCACACUGAGACUGAGACACGGCCCAGACUCCUGCGGGAGGCAGCAGUGGGGAAUUUUGGACAAUGGGGGGAACCCUGAUCCAGCCAUGCCGCGUGUGUGAAGAAGGCCUUAUGGUUGUAAAGCACUUUAAGCGAGGAGGAGGCUCUUUUGGUUAAUACCCAAGAUGAGUGGACGUUACUCGCAGAAUAAGCACCGGCUAACUCUGUGCCAGCCGCCGCAGUAACAC
rnacentral:rRNA from 1 species